rnacentral:rRNA from 1 species
ACGAACGCUGGCGGCUGCUUAACACAUGCAAGUCGAACGGAGUGGCGAACGGGUGAGUAACGCGUGAGCAACCUGCCUAUGACAGUGGGAUAGCCUCGGGAAACCGGGAUUAAUACCGCAUAGUCAUAGAUGGGCACGAGUCGGUUUAGAAGGUUGGUGAGAUAACAGCCCACCAUGGCGACGAUCAGUAGCCGGUCGGUGAGAAUGACCGGCCACAUUGGAGCUGAGAAACGGUCGAGACUCGUAAGGGAGGGAGCAGUGGGGAAUCUAGCACAAUGGGGAAAACCCAGAUGCAGCGAGGCCGAGUGAACGAAGUAGGUAGUCGUAUCGUAAAUUGCUGUCCUAUGGGAAACAGUACCAUCGAAGAAAGCUCCGGCUAAAUACGUGCCAGCAGCCGCGGUAAUUC